rnacentral:lncRNA from 1 species
ACCAAUUAGUAAAGACGGACAUUUUAAAAAAAACCGUCUCGGUUAACGUGUUAACGGAAGCGGUUGCUUUAUAACGGCCGCCUUCGAUAAAGCAAUUAACCAAAGCAGGCUUCUAACAGCGGCCGCCUCAGUUAACAUAUUAACCAUGGCGGUUGGACAACCGCCAUGGUUAAGGCAACAAUUAACCGUGGCCUUUCAUCCGUGGCGGUUGCAUGGCCCGCCAUGGUUAACCUGUUUUGCCUGUCACGGUUAAAUAUUUCUGUAGUAGUGCAAAAAUCUACUAAAAUAUUGUUAUCACUCACUGUCCCAAGUGUUGUUAUUCUCUCUCUCCAAUAAGAUUCAAUAGAUUCAUGGGUUAUGCAAAAAUAUGCGAGGAAAUAAAAAGGGGCAAGUGCCCGGAACCUCGAAAAAGAAAGAAAAAGAGUGAGUCGAGAGGUAAAAAUGGACAAGUGUCCGGAGUAGAAUUAGGGGUACAAAGAUGCCCACUUGACCGAAAAAAAUGGACAAGUGUCCGACAGUAGAAUUAGGGGUAUUUACUACCCACCUGAAAAAAAAGAAGAAAAGAAAAAGAUAGCCCAUGUUCUCCCAAAGCAAAGAUCAAAGAAGAGGAGAGAUAGCAAUAUGAGGAGCAACGAGAAGUAAGUUUUAUCAUCACUUAUACAUUUCCAACAUUACUAUCAUCUACUCCACCACACAUGCACAUCUUGAUUUAAUUAUAUGCUGAGUUCCUUUGGAUCCAUGGCUUGAUUAGACAACAUAUGUAUGAGCUAUUUUUCACACCUAUGAGCUCCACUUAAAUAUUCCAUUAGCUAUAGGUAGGUGACAUCUUUGUAAGGAUCCACAAAUACCACAUAUAGAGAGACUUGAGAGAAUCAUAGGUGGGAACUCUGAAUUUUAUUUUUUGAAAACUUAUGUAAAACUCCCGAACAAAGGUGAAGUAUUGACAGGAGGAAUAGUGCAUGACUUAAUUAUUUUGUCUUUUGAUUACUCAAGACUUAAGCGUAGGUACUAAGCUCCAUGACACUUCACUCUAAUCUGGAAGAAUUUUUAUGCAUGUGUGCCUGUCAGGAAAGAAAACAUCGAAGCAACUCCUGAUUCAUCUGAGUUUAGCUGUUUGCUCAGGGACGAGCAAAGGGUAAGCUUGGGGAAGAGAAAUCAUUAUCAGAGGAAGCCAUCAAAGUUAGGGUUUUAGAACUUCUCUCCCAUAGAGAAUUAGAAUUAGCUACUCCCUAAUCC